AUGGUACUCCCUCCGUUCCGAAUUACUCGUCGCAGAAAUGGAUGUAUCUAGAUGUAUUUUAGUUCUAAAUACAUCCAUUUCUGAGACGAGUAAUUUGGAACGGAGGAAGUAGAUA
rnacentral:pre_miRNA from 1 species